rnacentral:rRNA from 1 species
GAUGAACGCUGGCGGCGUGCCUAAUACAUGCAAGUCGAGCGAACAGACGAGGAGCUUGCUCCUCUGACGUUAGCGGCGGACGGGUGAGUAACACGUGGAUAACCUACCUAUAAGACUGGGAUAACUUCGGGAAACCGGAGCUAAUACCGGAUAAUAUAUUGAGCCGCAUGGUUCAAUAGUGAAGGACGGUUUUGCUGUCACUUAUAGAUGGAUCCGCGCCGCAUUAGCUAGUUGGUAAGGUAACGGCUUACCAAGGCAACGAUGCGUAGCCGACCUGAGAGGGUGAUCGGCCACACUGGAACUGAGACACGGUCCAGACUCCUACGGGAGGCAGCAGUAGGGAAUCUUCCGCAAUGGGCGAAAGCCUGACGGAGCAACGCCGCGUGAGUGAUGAAGGUCUUCGGAUCGUAAAACUCUGUUAUUAGGGAAGAACAAAUGUGUAAGUAACUAUGCACGUCUUGACGGUACCUAAUCAGAAAGCCACGGCUAACUACGUG